UACGAAGGGGGCUAGCGUUGCUCGGAAUCACUGGGCGUAAAGCGCACGUAGGCGGAUCUUUAAGUCAGGGGUGAAAUCCCAAGGCUCAACCUUGGAACUGCCUUUGAUACUGGGGAUCUCGAGUCCGGAAGAGGUUGGUGGAACUGCGAGUGUAGAGGUGAAAUUCGUAGAUAUUCGCAAGAACACCAGUGGCGAAGGCGGCCAACUGGUCCGGAACUGACGCUGAGGUGCGAAAGCGUGGGGAGCAAACAGGG
rnacentral:rRNA from 1 species